UGUAGCUUCUGAGACUUUAACUCAGAACUUUUGCUUGCAAAGCAAACGUUUUUCUAUUAAACUAAAACCAC
rnacentral:tRNA from 1 species